AUCGCUUCUCGGCCUUUUGGCUAAGAUCAAUUGUAGUAUAUAAUAUGCAUUUUUUUUUUUUUUUGAUAGGCAGAGCUAGACAGUGAGAGAGAGACAGAGAGAAAGGUCUUCCUUCAUUGGUUCCCUCCCACCCCAAAUGGCUGCUACGGCUGGCGCAUUGCGCCCGGCGCACUGUGCCAAUCCAAA